GAUGAACGCUGGCGGCGUGCCUAAUACAUGCAAGUCGAGCGAAUGGAUUAAGAGCUUGCUCUUAUGAAGUUAGCGGCGGACGGGUGAGUAACACGUGGGUAACCUGCCCGUAAGACUGGGAUAACUCCGGGAAACCGGGGCUAAUACCGGAUAACAUUUUGAACCGCAUGGUUCGAAAUUGAAAGGCGGCUUCGGCUGUCACUUAUGGGUGGACCCGCGUCGCAUUAGCUAGUUGGUGAGGUAACGGCUCACCAAGGCAACGAUGCGUAGACGGACUGAGAGGGUGAUCGGGCACACUGGGACUGAGACCUGGCCCAGACUCCUACGGGAGGGAGCAGUAGGGAAUCUUCCGCAAUGGACGAAAGUCUGACGGAGCAACGCCGCGUGAGUGAUGAAGGCUUUCGGGUCGUAAAACUCUGUUGUUAGGGAAGAACAAGUGCUAGUUGAAUAAGCUGGCACCUUGACGGUACCUAACCAGAAAGCCACGGCUAACUGCGUGCCAGCAGCCGCGGUAA
rnacentral:rRNA from 1 species